UGGUUUGGGAUGGGAUGAUGGCCGUCGACAAGGCGACGGCGGAACGAGGAAGCCGGUGUGAAUCCGGCGCGGUCCCGCCACUGUGAUCGGCGAGCGACUCCCGACAGGCCACUGCCCGGCAGCGGGUGGGAAGGCCGGGACGAGCAUCGACCCGAGAGCCAGGAGACUCACGCGGUCGCCUCCUCGACG
rnacentral:ncRNA from 2 species